UUGAACAAAUUGAAAAUCAAACAACAUAAGAAAAAUCUGUGCUGUCAAUUACACAGCCAGCCUGACGUUGAGAUUUUUGAUUUAUCUGUCGGAUUUUUUUUUCUUCUAUGCAACCCAUGAACCUGAACUUGAAGGAAGGCAACACUUUAUGUGAACAUAAUCGAAAAAACGCCAAGAAUUUGAAUAAUAACCAAGACAAAUAUCAACAACAACAGCAACGUGUUUAGAUAAAUGACCAAUUAGCAUAAGAAAAAUCUCAGCAACAAUAAAAACAACUGCAACAGCAAACAAUUACAUCAGCAACGAUGAUGACAACAACACCGUAACAGCAGCGGCAGCAGCAACAGUGGCGAGCAAUGCCAGCGGCAUCAUCAACAGCAUUCAUUUCUUUUUGAAGACGAAAUGAGAAAAAUUGUCACGCAAAGCGGCAACAACGAGACAGAAUAUACACCGGAGCAGCAAACUGCAAGCGAAAUCUAGCGACACGCCAUAACACAAAACAAAACAAAAAAAUCUCAGACCUCGACAUUAGUAUUUUCGUCAACAAAAACAAAAAAAGGUUUGCUCAGUCUGACGCGGCUACUCAAUGGCCAUUGUGUGAUAUUCAAGCGUUUUUUGGGAUAUUGUUCGCCCAACUGAAUCUAAGAGAGAAAAAUACACAAACUUACAUGAAAA
rnacentral:sRNA from 1 species